CGGACGGGUGAGUAACGCGUGGGUAACCUGCCCCAUACCGGGGGAUACCACCUGGAAACAGGUGCUAAUACCGCAUAAGCGCACGGGAGCGCAUGCUCCUGUGUGAAAAACUCCGGUGGUAUGGGAUGGACCCGCGUCUGAUUAGCCAGUUGGCAGGGUAACGGCCUACCAAAGCAACGAUCAGUAGCCGGCUUGAGAGAGUGACCGGCCACAUUGGGACUGAGACACGGCCCAGACUCCUACGGGAGGCAGCAG
rnacentral:rRNA from 1 species